CUUCUUCUGCUUUCUCAUUUCUCUACUUUUCUUCUUUCUUCUUUUCCCUCGUUUUCUAUUUUCCUCUUUUGUCUUUCCUCUCAUUUUUCCUCUAUUUUCAUCUUUCCCUUUUUCUCAUUUUUCCUCCUUUUAUUUUCUUUUUUCCUCCCUCUAUUUCUUUUUUCCUGUUUCUUUUUCCUCUUCUGCUUUUUCUCUCCUUUCCCCUUUUUUCUUCCCACUAUUUCUCUUUUUCUCCUUUUUCUUUUUCCUCUUUUCUUCUGCUUUUGUUCUCAUUUGCCCUUUUUCCUCUCCUUUUUUCCUUAUUUCUCUCUUUUUCUCUCCUUCUUCCUCUCAUUUUUUCCUUAUUUUUCUCUCCUUCUCUCCUUUUUCCUCUCCUUUUUUCCUUAUUUUUCUCUCCUUCUCACAUUUUUUCCUCUCCUUUUUUCCUUAUUUUUCUCUCCUUCUCUCCUUUUUCCUCUCCUUUUUUCCUUAUUUUUCUCUCCUUCUCUCCUUUUUUCCUUAUUUCUCUCUUUUUCCCUCCUUCUCUCCUUUUUCCUCUCUCUAUUUCUCUCCUCCCCUUUUUAUGUCCCUUUUUCCUCUCUCUUUCUCUAGCUCUCUCUUUUUCUCUCCUUCCCUGGCUUCCACCUCUCUCUUUCCCCCGCUUUUCCCUCUCUUUUUUCCUCUCCUUAUUUUCACUGUUUCUCCCGCUUUUCCCUCUCUCUUUUUCCUCCCUUCUUCUCCCCUCCUCAUCUCUCCCCCGUGCCGGCAUCACCCCUCGCUCCCGUUCCGGGA
rnacentral:lncRNA from 1 species